GAUGAUCUUUUCUCUCAUUUCUAUUAAGUUUAUCUUUCUCGAUAUAUUACAAAAUAAACUCGAAGGACCUUUUAUACACACUAAAACGCAUCAAACCCACCAAAAACAAGUGAAUAAUGAACACAUACUUUAAUUCUAAAAAAAUUUAGCACUGCGGUAACAUUUAUUUUUGUCUGAAGUUUUUUACACAAAUGCGCAAAUUUUUCUAGAAGUUUAUUGAAUUAUUUAUUAUACAUGUAGACAGUGAAGGUCCAAGCUACCCUUUUUAUUUCACCACAUCAUUCCAAAU
rnacentral:lncRNA from 1 species